rnacentral:sRNA from 1 species
CAGUGAAUAAUGGCAAACUGGUCAUCGCAGAUCACUGGGCUGGUCCAUUGGAAGCGGAGAGUGAGGUUCCUAGGUUGAUGUAGCAGAUGACUGAGCGCCACAACAGAGCUAGUCGGUCACAGCCUCUGCAACACCAACCCUAACUUUGCAAAGACCGCCUAGGACAUUCAUAAAGUCCCACCCCAAACCUUUCCACUGCCGAGGAAACAAUUUUGAGGUGGAAAUUAAUGGAUUACUUGUGAAGUAAGCCCACAUGUUUGAACUAAAGGUCACCUCUGGAGCAUCCAGGAAAAUGUUGCCAAGUCGUGAGCCCUACCUAAGUACAUGAGACGUUUAGGUGCACAUGUGUGCACUUCAGAUAUUUUACUUAACCGAGUGUGUGUUGUGUUUGGCCGGGAUCACUUGGAGAGCCUGGGACUCCCUUCCAUUAUAAUUAACGUAUUUCAUGACUUCUCACUACAGUUGCGAAGAUGGAAGAAAAAUAGACAGGUUGACAUUCUCUUUUCACAUUCCUCAUUUGAAACUGGCUGGGAUCGUGCAGCCAAAAGGAGUCAUUAUUUUGCUUGGCAGGUCUGCAGUAAUUCUCAAAACUUCCAUUGGGUGAUUAACAGGAGCAGCAAGGAAGCGAAACUUCACCCGGAUGAGGGUGGAGGAAGGGUGUCUGUGUGUGCGAGUUUCCCCAGGGCUGAUGAGGUGUGGUUUCUGGUUCUUGGCAUGAUGUGGGUGCUUGGGAAGAUUCCCCUGAGUAACCGCAGAAUAAGAGGGUGAAGUCUGAAAGAGCUGUAGGCCCCAUGCCCAGCGUCCCAUGCUCCCCCUCACAGUUUGUGGGACUUUUUCUUCCACAGGGUGGCUUUGGCCGAAGGGGACCCCCUGGAGCUAAGGGCAACAAGGGCGGUUCUGGCCAGCCAGGCUUUGAGGGAGAGCAGGGGACCAGAGGUGCACAGGGCCCAGCUGGUCCUGCUGGUCCUCCAGGGCUGAUAGGAGAACAAGGCAUUUCUGGACCUCGGGGAAGCGGAGGUGCCGCCGGUGCUCCUGGAGAACGAGGCAGAACCGGUCCCCUAGGAAGAAAGGGUGAGCCCGGAGAGCCAGGACCAAAAGGAGGAAUCGGGAACCGGGGCCCUCGUGGGGAGACGGGAGAUGACGGGAGAGACGGAGUUGGCAGUGAAGGACGCAGAGGCAAAAAAGGAGAAAGAGGAUUCCCUGGAUACCCAGGACCAAAGGGUAACCCAGGUGAGCCUGGGCUAAAUGGAACAACAGGACCCAAAGGCAUCAGAGGCCGAAGGGGAAAUUCGGGACCUCCAGGGAUAGUUGGACAGAAGGGAGACCCUGGCUACCCAGGACCAGCUGGUCCCAAGGGCAACAGAGGCGACUCCAUCGAUCAAUGUGCCCUCAUCCAAAGCAUCAAAGAUAAAUGCCCUUGCUGUUAUGGGCCCCUGGAGUGUCCCGUCUUCCCAACAGAACUAGCCUUUGCUUUAGACACCUCUGAGGGGGUCAACCAAGACACUUUCGGCCGGAUGCGAGAUGUGGUCUUGAGUAUUGUGAAUGACCUGACCAUUGCUGAGAGCAACUGCCCACGGGGGGCCCGGGUGGCUGUGGUCACCUACAACAAUGAGGUGACCACGGAGAUCCGGUUUGCUGACUCCAAGAGGAAGUCGGUCCUCCUGGACAAGAUUAAGAACCUUCAGGUGGCUCUGACGUCCAAACAGCAGAGUCUGGAGACCGCCAUGUCAUUUGUGGCCAGGAACACAUUUAAGCGUGUGAGGAACGGAUUCCUAAUGAGGAAAGUGGCUGUUUUCUUCAGCAACACGCCCACGAGAGCAUCCCCACAGCUCAGAGAGGCUGUGCUCAAGCUCUCAGAUGCAGGGAUCACCCCCUUGUUCCUUACAAGCCAGGAAGACCGGCAGCUCAUCAACGCUUUGCAGGUCUGUGCUCUGUGGGUGCUGUUGGCAUCUCCCUUUCUUCUGGGGCUCUGAGAAAAUUCUCAGACACGUCCAUGCUCCUUGGCAACUUCAUGUCCCAUAGCUCCUAAAACGUCCCCAAUGAGGCCAUUUGCCUGAGAACUUCUCUUGUGAGGUCUCCAGGACAGCCUCGUGGCUCCAGCACUACAGGGACGCCUACAUGCCUGUAGUACUGCCCCCAGGUCCCUCCUCACAUGUUGGCCACUCUUGCCGGUUAGUGAUGCUAGUGUUGGUGACACCCUCUAUCUACUAACAAGGGGGUGUGACUUGUUUGCUUUAUUCAUGAGGACCUGGACGUUUGAAUCAGUCCUGUCUCCUCCCAAGAUGGCCCCCUAUGCACACUCUGAGCUGUGUCUUACUGUGUACUGGGCAUUUGCUUCCCAUAACUGGCUGGUGAAGUUUGUAUCAUCAGUCUCACCUCAUGGAUAGGAAGAUCCUGCUGUUAGUGAGGUGCUCGUGAGAAGCUAGGACCCUAGUCCAUUAGACUCUGAAACCCAUGUGCUGAUGAUACCCAUUCCACUCUCCACUCUGUCUCAAUCGGCCCUGAAGGUGAAUAUCCAGGGUGGCCCUGGAGGCCUGCAGUCUCUUAGUGAGGUACCCAAAACUACACCGACUCAGCACCCCCAAUCUACACCACUGUGCAAAGCUUUCAUCAGUCAGGCCCCAAGGGUCAGCCCACAGAGAGGCCAAGUGUCCCUUGUAAUUCUAUUAAAUAACUGGUUUAAUUGGUUUUUAUUUUAUUUUUUUGAGACAGAGUCUUGCUCUGUCACCCAGGCUGGAGUGCAAUGGCGUGAUCUCGGCUCACUGCAACCUCCACCUUCCAGUUGCAAGCGAUUCUCCUGCUUCAGCCUCCUGAGUAGCUGGGAUUACAGGCACUCACCACCAUGCCUGGCUAAUUUUUGUAUUUUUCUUUUUUUUUUUUUUUUUUUAGUAGAGACGGGGUUUCACCACGUUGGUCAGGCUGGUCUUGAACUCCUGACCUUGUGAUCCGCCUGCCUCAGCCUCCCAAAGUGUUGGGGUUAUAGGCGUAAGCCACCGCACCCAGCCAACUGGUUUAAUUCCUAUAUCAAUUAAUAUUUAUUCAGUGCAGUUCUGGUGAUACUGUUCAAGACAGAUGGGUGAUGGGUAGGAAGGAGUCCACCCACCCGGGAGUCAGGAGGCCUUGGCCUGGUUCCACACUCCCCUCACUCAUUUAAAGUAAUGUGCACGCCACUUAGCUUCCCUGCGUCUCAGAUUUGUCACCUGUAAGUUGAGGCUGGGGCAGGAUGAUUGCUAAUGUCUUUCCUUCCACAUUGGAUAUUCUGUGCUUUUACCACAGCCUGUGUCAGCAAAAGACAUUGGGUCAUCACUGCCAUUCCUCAGUGCUUAUUCUGCCAAACACAGGAUGAUUUGUGCACAGAGUGCUGGGCUUGGGAAUCCAGUGUUGAAGUUGGGCUACUGGCCAUGAGCUCUUGAUGUGGGGGUUCAUUCACAUAAAUCUGCCCUUGUGUGGGCUGAGGGACCCAGAACCACAUGAGUUUCUUAGCAUGGUUUCAACAAGAUCAAAAAAUUAUUCAUUCAUUAAUUAUUUGCUCAGUCAUUCAUUCAAACUAGCUAAUUGUUAAAUGAAUAAUUACUAAUCGUGUCCCAGGUACUGCGAUAGACAGGACUCUUUGCACCCACUGGGAGUGAUUUUGUUACUUGCUUUAACCACACCUGAGAGGGUGGGGAAGGAAUGGAGCUCCCAUGUUGUUGCUAAAAAUAACGAUAAGAUUAAGUUCCUACUAUUUGCCAGAGGAUACACCAGGUACUAACAUUUACUAUCUAAUUUAACCCUCCAAAUGACACCAUUAGGAAGGUAUUACCCCCCAUUUUACAGCUGAAAAAAACUGAACCCCAUUUGAACGGGAUAUGAACUCCAGCUCACCCUAUUAGAAUAAAACCUAUGUCUUUCUAUUAUACUCAGAGCCUAGCCCCACCCCCAAAUGAGAAGAUAUUCCCAAUACUGCCCUAUUGGGAAGUUAAUCUAUUUUAUUGAUGUAGCUUUGAUUUACUCCUCUGCCAUAUUUUCAGAUAUUACUGAUCAUGUACGCCCCUACCAAAAUUGUUCUUUUGUUUAAACCAGAUCAAUAACACAGCAGUGGGGCAUGCGCUUGUCCUGCCUGCAGGGAGAGACCUCACAGACUUCCUGGAGAAUGUUCUCACGUGUCAUGUUUGCUUGGACAUCUGCAACAUCGACCCAUCCUGCGGAUUUGGCAGUUGGAGGCCUUCCUUCAGGGACAGGAGAGCAGCAGGGAGCGAUGUGGACAUCGACAUGGCUUUUGUCUUAGACAGCGCUGAGACCACCACCCUGUUCCAGUUCAAUGAGAUGAAGAAGUACAUAGCGUACCUGGUCAGACAACUGGACAUGAGCCCAGACCCCAAGGCCUCCCAGCACUUCGCCAGAGUGGCCGUUGUGCAGCACGCGCCCUCUGAGUCCAUGGGCAAUGCCAGCAUGCCACCUGUGAAGGUGGAAUUCUCCCUGACUGACUAUGGCUCCAAGGAGAAGCUGGUGGACUUCCUCAGCAGGGGAAUGACACAGUUGCAGGGAACCAGGGCCUUGGGAAGUGCCAUUGAAUACACCAUAGAGAAUGUCUUUGAAAGUGCCCCAAACCCACGGGACCUGAAAAUUGUGGUCCUGAUGCUGACGGGCGAGGUGCAGGAGCAGCAGCUGGAGGAGGCCCAGAGAGUCAUCCUGCAGGCCAAAUGCAAGGGCUACUUCUUCGUGGUCCUGGGCAUUGGCAGGAAGGUGAACAUCAAGGAGGUAUACACCUUUGCCAGUGAGCCAAACGACGUCUUCUUCAAAUUAGUGGACAAGUCCACCGAGCUCAACGAGGAGCCUUUGAUGCGCUUCGGGAGGCUGUUGCCGUCCUUCGUCAGCAGUGAAAAUGCUUUUUACUUGUCCCCAGAUAUCAGGAAACAGUGUGAUUGGUUCCAGGGGGACCAACCCACAAAGAACCUUGUGAAGUUUGGUCACAAACAAGUAAAUGUUCCGAAUAAUGUUACUUCAAGUCCUACAUCCAACCCAGCGAUGACAACGAAGCCGGUGACUACGAUGAAGCCGGUGACCACUACAACAAAGCCUGUAACCACCACAACAAAGCCUGUAGCUAUUGUAAAUCAGCCAUCUGCGAAGCCAGCCGCUGCAAAGCCGGCCCCUGUGAAACCAGCCCCUGCAAAACCUAUGGCUGCCAAGCCUGUGGCCACGAAGACGGCCACUGUUAGACCCCCAGUGGUGGUGAAGCCAGCAACAGCAGCGAAGCCUGUAGCAGCAAAGCCAGCAGCUGUAAGACCCCCCGCUGCUGCUGCUGCAAAACCAGUGGUGACCAAGCCUGAGGCCCCUAGGCCCCAGGCAGCCAAACCAGCUGCCACCAAGCCAGCCACCACUAAGCCCGUGGUUAGGGUGUCCCGUGAAGUCCAGGUGUUUGAGAUAACAGAGAACAGCGCCAAACUCCACUGGGAGAGGCCUGAGCCCCCCAGUCCUUAUUUUUAUGACCUCACCGUCACCUCAGCCCAUGAUCAGUCCCUGGUUCUGAAGCAGAACCUUACAGUCACGGACCGCAUCAUCGGAGGCCUGCUUGCUGGGCAGACAUACCAUGUGGCUGUGGUCUGCUACCUGAGGUCUCAGGUCAGAGCCACCUACCACGGAAGUUUCAGUACAAAGAAAUCUCAGCCCCCACCUCCACAGCCAGCAAGGUCAGCUUCUAGUUCAACCAUCAAUCUAAUGGUGAGCACAGAACCGUUGGCUCUCACUGAAACAGAUAUAUGCAAAUUGCCGAAAGACGAAGGAACUUGCAGGGAUUUCAUAUUAAAAUGGUACUAUGAUCCAAACACCAAAAGCUGUGCAAGAUUCUGGUAUGGAGGUUGUGGUGGAAACGAAAACAAAUUUGGAUCACAGAAAGAAUGUGAAAAGGUUUGCGCUCCUGUGCUCGCCAAACCCGGAGUCAUCAGUGUGAUGGGAACCUAAGCGUGGCUGGCCAACAUCAUAUACCUCUUGAAGAAGAAGGAGUCAGCCAUCGCCAACUUGUCUCUGUAGAAGCUCCGGGUGUAGAUUCCCUUGCACUGUAUCAUUUCAUGCUUUGAUUUACACUCGAACUCGGGAGGGAACAUCCUGCUGCAUGACCUGUCAGUAUGGUGCUAAUGUGUCUGUGGACCCUCGCUCUCCGUCUCCAGGCAGUUCUCUCGAAUACUUUGAAUGUUGUGUAACAGUUAGCCACUGCUGGUGUUUAUGUGAACAUUCCUAUCAAUUCAAAUUCCCUCUGGAGUUUCAUGUUAUGCCUGUUGCAGGCAAAUGUAAAGUCUAGAAAAUAAUGCAAAUGUCACGGCUACUCUAUAUACUUUUGCUUGGUUCAUUUUUUUUCCCUUUUAGUUAAGCAUGACUUUAGAUGGGAAGCCUGUGUAUCGUGGAGAAACAAGAGACCAACUUUUUCAUUCCCUGCCCCCAAUUUCCUGGAUUAGAUUUCAAGCUAAUUUUCUUUUUCUAAAGCCUCUAACAAAUGAUCUAGUUGAGAAGGAAGCAAAAUCCCUUUAUCUAUGUGCACCGUUGGGACCAAUGCCUUAAUUAAAGAAUUAAAAAAAGUUGUAAUAGAGAAUAUUUUUGGCAUUCCUCUAAUGUUGUGUGUGUGUUUUUUUUUGUGCAGGGGGGAGGGGAUUUAAUUUUAAUUUUAAAAUUUUUAGGAAAUUUAUACAAAGAAACUUUUUAAUAAAGUAUAUUGAAAGUC